UGAUGACGAGACGCUAAGGCGUUGAAGCAGUGUAUGUCAGACUUCCAAGAAAAGCUCGCAAUGUCAUAAAUAAAGAAUGCCUGUACCAUAACCGACACAGGUGGGUAGGUAGAGUAUACUAAGGGGCGCGAGAUAACUCUCUCUAAGGAACUCGGCAAAAUGACUCCGUAACUUCGGGAGAAGGAGUGCCUUAUUUAUAAGGUUGCAAUAACAAGAUCCAAGCAACUGUUUAUCAAAAACACAGGUCUCCGCUAAGUCGUAAGACGAUGUAUGGGGGCUGACGCCUGCCCAGUGCCAGAAGGUUAAAGAAGUUGGUUAGUGUAUGCGAAGCUGAUGACUGAAGCCCUGGUGAACGGCGGCCGUAACAAUAACGGUCCUAAGGUAGCGAAAUUCCUUGUCGGGUAAGUUCCGACCCGCACGAAAGGCGUAAUGAUUUGGAUACUGUCUCGGAGAGAGGCUCGGUGAAAUAGACUUGUCUGUGAAGAUGCGGACUACCUGCACCAGGACAGAAAGACCCUAUGAAGCUUUACUGUAACUUGAAAUUGGAAUUGGACUUUGCUUGCGCAGUAUAGGUGGGAAGCGUUGAAGAUAUUCUUGCGGGAGUAUUGGAGCUAUCAGUGAGAUACCACUCUUGUAAUGUUAGAUUUCUAACUUUGAACCAUAAUCUGGUCAAAGAACAGUUUCAGGGGGCAGUUUGACUGGGGCGGUCGCCUCCCAAAUGGUAACGGAGGCGUACAAAGGUUUCCUCUGAACGGAUAGAAAUCGUAUCUAGAGUGUAAAGGCAUAAGGAAGCUUGACUGUGAGACCUACAAGUCGAGCAGGGACGAAAGUCGGUCUUAGUGAUCUGACGGUACUGAGUGGAAAGGCCGUCACUCAACGGAUAAAAGUUACUCUAAGGAUAACAGGCUGAUCUCCCCCAAGAGUUCACAUCGACGGGGAGGUUUGGCACCUCGAUGUCGGCUCAUCGCAUCCUGGGGCGGUAGUACGUCCCAAGGGUUGGGCUGUUCGCCCAUGAAAGCGGUACGCGAGCUGGGUUCAGAACGUCGUGAGACAGUUCGGUCCAUAUCCGGUGUAGGCGCUAGAAUAUUGAGAGGAGCCUUCUUUAGUACAAGAGGACCGAGAAGGACACACCGCUGGUGUACCAGUUAUCGUGCCAACGGUAAACGCUGGGUAGCUAUGUGUGGAGUGGAUAACCGCUGAAAGCAUCUAAGUGGGAAGCCCACCUCAAGAUGAGUAUUC
rnacentral:rRNA from 1 species